rnacentral:rRNA from 1 species
UGGGGAAUAUUGCACAAUGGGCGCAAGCCUGAUGCAGCCAUGCCGCGUGUAUGAAGAAGGCCUUCGGGUUGUAAAGUACUUUCAGCGAGGAGGAAGGCGUUGUGGUUAAUAACCGCAACGAUUGACGUUACUCGCAGAAGAAGCACCGGCUAACUCCGUGCCAGCAGCCGCGGUAAUACGGAGGGUGCAAGCGUUAAUCGGAAUUACUGGGCGUAAAGCGCACGCAGGCGGUCUGUCAAGUCGGAUGUGAAAUCCCCGGGCUCAACCUGGGAACUGCAUCCGAAACUGGCAGGCUAGAGUCUUGUAGAGGGGGGUAGAAUUCCAGGUGUAGCGAUGAAAUGCGUAGAGAUCUGGAGGAAUACCGGUGGCGAAGGCGGCCCCCUGGACAAAGACUGACGCUCAGGUGCGAAAGCGUGGGGAGCAAACA